rnacentral:rRNA from 1 species
AGGAGUGGAGCCUGCGGCUUAAUUUGACUCAACACGGGGAAACUUACCAGGUCCAGACACCGGAAGGAUUGACAGAUUGAGAGCUCUUUCUUGAUUCGGUGGGUGGUGGUGCAUGGCCGUUCUUAGUUCGUGGAUUGGUUUGUCUGGUUUAUUCCGUUAACGAACGAGACUCUAACCUGCUAACUAGGCGUUACUUACCGGUAUCCUGAAGGCUCGCGGCUACCGUAUUUGCUGCGUCGUGUGCACGUGCUUGUGUCGUUUCGGCGGUGCAGUGCGUGUUACUGGCGUUAGCGGUCGGCAGUUUGCGGUUUUUACUACCGGCGUACAUAUGAAUCUUCUUAGAGGGACAGGCGACUCUUAGUCGCACGAGAUUGAGCAAUAACAGGUCUGUAAUGCCCUUAGAUGUUCUGGGCCG